GUACACUCCUGCGGGAGGCAGCAGUGGGGAAUUUUGGACAAUGGGCGAAAGCCUGAUCCAGCCAUGCCGCGUGCAGGAUGAAGGCCUUCGGGUUGUAAACUGCUUUUGUACGGAACGAAACGGCCUUUUCUAAUAAAGAGGGCUAAUGACGGUACCGUAAGAAUAAGCACCGGCUAACUACGUGCCAGCAGCCGCGGUAAUACGUAGGGUGCAAGCGUUAAUCGGAAUUACUGGGCGUAAAGCGUGCGCAGGCGGUUAUGUAAGACAGUUGUGAAAUCCCCGGGCUCAACCUGGGAACUGCAUCUGUGACUGCAUAGCUAGAGUACGGUAGAGGGGGAUGGAAUUCCGCGUGUAGCAGUGAAAUGCGUAGAUAUGCGGAGGAACACCGAUGGCGAAGGCAAUCCCCUGGACCUGUACUGACGCUCAUGCACGAAAGCGUGGGGAGCAAACAGGAUUAGAAACCCUUGUAGUCCCA
rnacentral:rRNA from 1 species